rnacentral:rRNA from 1 species
GAUGAACGCUGGCGGCGUGCCUAAUACAUGCAAGUCGAGCGAAAAGACGAGGAGCUUGCUCCUCUGACGUUAGCGGCGGACGGGUGAGUAACACGUGGAUAACCUACCUAUAAGACUGGGAUAACUGCGGGAAACCGGAGCAAAUACCGGAUAAUAUAUUGAAACGCAUGGUUCAAUAGUGAAAGACGGUUUUGCUGUAAGUAAUAGAUGGAUCUGCGCCGCAUUAGCUAGUUUGUAAGGUAACGGCCUAACAAGGCGACGAUGCGUAGCCGAGCUGAGAGAGGGGUCCGCCACCUGGGAACUUAAACACCGUCCCUGCGCCUACGGGAUGCCGCAGUCGCGAAUCUUCCGCAAUGGUCGAAAACCUUACCGAACCACCGCGCGUUUGUUAUUGAGGUCCUCCGAUCGUAAAACUCCUUUUUUAGGGGAAAACCACCCUUUCAGUAACCAUGCCCUGCUUGACGGUACCUAAUCAGAAAGCCACGGCUAACUACGUG